ACAAGGAGAGGUUCACCAACAUGACGGGAUCUUCUGGGACUCAAAUAACUUCUCCCUAGGUUUUUCCCCACUAAGCAUGGGGCCAGCCUGCUCGCAUUUGCUCAGUGGACGAUGCUGCACAGCCUGAGCAUCUUCUUUCCAGCUGAUCGAGUGGUAUAAAUGAUUAAGGAGAAGACAUUCAUCAGAUCCACGGUGUCUAUUAGCAAUUUGAGGCGUGAAGAGCUCAUUCCUGAGAUAUAGCUGGAUUGCUGCUCGCGGCGAGGAACAAAUGAAGAACCGGGUUAACCCUCCUGACAGGUGUGGCUGACUCGAAUCAGUCUUUCUCCUGUCAGAUGAAAGGACUGUAAUAUGAUCCUUCCCUGCAGUAGGCUCCGCCACCCACCUCCUUCCAGGCAGCAGCACUGGAGCCAUGUCAGUGGAGGAAGUCCUCUUGUCAGCUACAACAG